rnacentral:rRNA from 1 species
CCCGCUGAACUUAAGCAUAUCUAUAAGCGGAGGAGAAGAAACUAAGCAGGAUUCCCCCAGUAACGGCGAGUGAAGAGGGAAAAGCCCGACUUUAAAAUCUGAUAGUUUGACUAUCCGAAUUGUAGUCUCGAGAAGCAAUGCCCGUCCUAGAUAAACAUGAAGUUGAUUCGGAUGUCAGAUCAGACAGGGUGCCAAUCCCGGUACAUGUGAUAUUUAACGACAAUGUGGUAUGCUCUCUAAGAGUCGAGUUGUUCGCGAAUGGAGCUCUUAUUGGGUGGUAAAGUCCAUCAUAAUGCUAAUUAUUGGCGAGAGACCGAUAGCGAAUCAAGUACCGUGAGGGAAUAGAUGAAUAGCACUUUGGAAAGAGAAUGAAACAGUAUGUGAAAUUGCUGGAAGGGAAACGCUGAAAGUCAGAGGCGCGAGUUACGGCUCAAUAUUUUUUCUAAAGUAUGCAUUCUCGUAUCACUGCGGGCCAACAUACGAUUAGGUGGGCAUCAAAAAGAUCAAAAGAGGUAGCCAUUUUUGAAUGGCAUUAUAAUUUUGGUUUGAAUGAUGUCUGGAUGAUCGAGGACAGCAAUAGACUGCAAUAGCGUUCAGUGAGCUAAACGGUCUAUUCGGGAUGUUGGUAGAAUGGCUUUAAACGACCCGUCGUGAAACACGG